AAAGCCUGAUCCAGCCAUGCCGCGUGUGUGAAGAAGGUCUUCGGAUUGUAAAGCACUUUAAGUUGGGAGGAAGGGUUGUAGAUUAAUACUCUGCAAUUUUGACGUUACCGACAGAAUAAGCACCGGCUAACUUCGUGCCAGCAGCCGCGGUAAUACGAAGGGGGCUAGCGUUGCUCGGAAUCACUGGGCGUAAAGCGCACGUAGGCGGAUCGUUAAGUCAGGGGUGAAAUCCUGGGGCUCAACCUCAGAACUGCCCUUGAUACUGGCGAUCUCGAGUUCGAGAGAGGUUGGUGGAACUCCGAGUGUAGAGGUGAAAUUCGUAGAUAUUCGGAAGAACACCAGUGGCGAAGGCGGCCAACUGGCUCGAUACUGACGCUGAGGUGCGAAAGCGUGGGGAGCAAACA
rnacentral:rRNA from 1 species